AUGAAUGCUAUCAUAGCUGUGUGUCACUUCUGUGAACUCCAUGGCCCAAGAAUUGUAUAUUGCACACAAUCUUUCCAUCCACAAGAACACAGAGCUGUAGAUGAUGAGGAUGCAUUGUCUGAUGUCAGUGCUGGUCAUCUACACAACCGGUCAAAAGCCAUAAGACAUGGUUCUUUUUCUUCUACUGAUAGUGCUGCUGUGACAAGUAUGAAGACAGAUCUUUGUGAAGGCUGUUAUUCAGUCAAAACUGGAUUUGUUAGUCACGAUGAUGAAGUUCCUAUUAGUUAUGUGAGCAGCCAACAUCCACACCACCCCAAAGUUUUUAGUAUGGUACGACAAGCUUGUCUGCGAAGUCUUAGUUGUGAGGUGUGUCCCGGUCGAGAAGGUCCUAUUUUCUUUGGUGAUAAACAACAAGGCAAUGUUCUCAGUUACACUUUCUAUAUCCAAGAUAAUCAAGCUCGUGGAUUUAAACGUUGGUAUAGCAUCAUCAUUGUUAUGAUGGACAAAUUAUAUUUGUUGAACUCUUGGUCUUUCCUUGUACCAAAUUUACAACUUGUUAUCAAGCAACUACAAAUGAAAGCAGAAAAGGUCUACACUGAAGAACAGACAAGAUGUCCGCAGAAAGGCUACAGAGAUAGUAUUUACCCAGCAAGCUUCCGGUUUCAACGAGGUGGUAACAAGCCAGCUCGAUCAUUGAAGGAAUUAACAGAUGAUAAACAUAUUUUCAAAAUGUUACAUGUAUCGUUUGUGUGGAUCCUUAAAGCUUGCGUUAACCGAAUAACUGAAACCUCUCUAGAAGCCCCUCCUACAGAAGAUGCUAUUCUGGAUACAGAGAGAUUAGAAGAAACUGAAGAAGGCUUUAUAAAACUCUACAUGAGGAAAUCCAGUCCAGACAAAGAAAAUCCAGACAUUGAUUCAAUGGAUGCCGACCCAGAUCAGCCGAGAUUUUAUAAUUUACAAAAUGUUAUGCAGGUGCUUGGUUAUUUAAACUUUCACACAGUGGCCCAUCAUAUUGUCAUAGGGAACCAGUUAAUUGUCAAGGGUGCAGAGAAACAGCUUGUCAAGUCAAUGUUAGAAGUCUUGAAGGGUUUAUUACCAAAAGGUUGUUGUAAAAUAAUUCCUUACAGUGAAAAGUAUGAAGAAUCUUGGCGCUGCAACUUUUUAGGAGUCCCUCUUGGAGUUUUGUUACCUAACCAUAUUCUAAACUCAGAACAGUUCCUUUUAAUAGAGAUUCUCAGUCCUGAAGAGGGACCACAAGAUCUCAAUAGCUAUGAGUUCAAAAUCAGUAGCCAUGUUAUCCUGCCAGAUAAAGCUCCUAAGGUACUAAUCCGUAUGGAACUUGCACUAAGAAAUACAAAUCUAUGCUAUGAAGUUAUUGAACAAUGCUUAAUUUGUUUAAAAGAAGAAUGGAUGAACAAAGUAAAGGUUCUAUUCAAGUUCACCAAAGCUGGUGGCAGCCGAUCAGAAGACGACAUGAAGAAACUUCUGCAAGUGGUUGGUGCCAAAGAAGAAGACAAACAGUUGCUAAAGUUCUGGAUGACUGGUUUAAGUGUUCAAUACCGUAACCACAUUUUGUCCACAUCAAUGAAUAUGAACAUGGUUCCUCCUUAAACUGAUGCCAUCGUCACAGUUCCAAAAUUCUUCUCCCUCUUUUUCUUGUACAUAAACACUUGUGUGUGUAUGUAUGUAUGUAUAUAUAUACAUACAUACAUAUUGAAAACAAAUCAGCAAGAAAAAAUAUGUUAAUUGCUCAUGAAUUUGUAGGGGAAGGAAGAGUUUUCAAUCAUAAAUGCUGAGAAUAUUUAUAAAUUUCAGAGCUACUUUUAUUUGAGAAAAUAAAAAUAGUUCUUG
rnacentral:misc_RNA from 1 species